rnacentral:lncRNA from 1 species
AUAUAAUGCAUUUGUAAGUGACUUACAGAAAGAAUUCGGGCUGAUAAGCCAAUAUUUCUUUGUGACAGUUUUUUAGCGUCAGCUUGGCUGGGCUAUGGUGCAUAGUCAUUUGGUUAAAUGUUGCAGUUGGAGGUAUUUCAUAGAUGUGAUUAACAUUCACAAUCAGUGGACUGUGAAGAAAUAAAACAGAUUACCUUCCAUCAUGUGGGGUGGGGGGACCUCAUCCAGUCAGUUCAAGGCCUUAGGAACAGAACUUAGGGUUUCUUGAAGGAGGAGGGAUUCAACUCUUACCUGAAUUUCUAGCCUACUGGCUUGCUCUAUGGAUCUCAGACUGCUGCUUCCUGAUCUGGUGGUAAAUUCUCCAUAGUCUGGAGGCAGCAGAACUUGUGGAGAAGAGUGAGGCACGUUUGAGAAAGGCUGAAAAAUGUUGCUGUCCAGGCACAUGUGUGUGCUGAAUGACUCAAGGAUUUUUUGGUGCAUUAAAUGAACAGCGCAGCAUUGGACACCUGCUGAUCCAUCACCCCCAGCCCAGGCAGGCACGUGGACGCAGAGAGAUGGAGAAGACCAGGCACGGGACUGAGGAGGGCCACACCACCAGAAAUCCCCCUCUGAGUCCCGGUCC